CCUUCUGAACUAAGUAGAUAGACGGAUGGAUGGAUGGUUGGUUAGAUGGUUGGAUGGAUGGAUGGAUACCUUGCACUUUACUACAUCUACUAUAUAGACAUUCAUAGAUACUCAAGAGUAUGCAAUGUGUUGUAGUACGUACGUACAUAUGAAAGAUUGUUCCUAACAAAGAAAUAAUAAACUCACACAUUCGGUUAUAGUCUCGUCGCGACUACGGGCAAUGUCUGGUCUGGUCUCCAUCUUCUCGUACAGACACAGCAACAGCAACAACAACACCAACAAUGAGCCAACAAACACAGAAGCAACAACAACAUCUCAAACAAACAGCAGCAGCAGUGCAGAACAAAAACAACAGCAACAACAGCACCGCCACCAGAACAUAGAGACACACAUGGAAUAAACCGAAUUGAACGAACAAAUUUUUAUAUACGAAUCAAACCAGCAAGAAAGCAGUCAGUCGACCAGCCAGAAGCUAACGAGCCACCAGGCAGGCAGCCAGCAAGGCAGUCAGCAAUCAGCAGCAAAAGCAAAAUGUGUUUUGCAAACUUUUGGCUUUUGAUUGAACGACGACAUUGAAUACCACUCAUUUGAUCGCCAACAGCCGGUCCGAACGGUUUGCUCAAGAAAAACUCUUUCCGUGCUUUACACAAAUAAAUUCAAAAGAAAAAAUAAAUCUAAUAUUUGCUUAUUAAUCUUCAAAUUUGUUUGUAUGAAGAAGUGUGUUUUUGCUGUUUGUGAUUAAAUAUUUGUGUGGCUUGUUUAAACAAAUAAAAUAAAAAAUUAACAAGAAAACCCAAAAGAUUAUUGAGAACAAAAAUUUAUAACUUAUAAGUGAAAUUGCUAAAACGAAAGAAAGAAUAAAAAAGAACAUUUGUUAAUAAACUAAAAACGGACAAAAGAAAGAACUGAAAUGAAAAAAAGAGAAACAAAAGAAAGAAAAAAGAAACACAUGUAUGAAUAACUACUACAACUGACUGUUCGUUCGUUCGUCAUCAUUGUAUUGGAGCAGCUUGAGAGUGUAAUUGUGUGUCUGUUUGUGUGUGUGUGUUGGAACUUUUUUUUAAAGUUGUAUUGUAUGUGGACGGAUGAUGGAGGUGACGCAUGGUGAGGCAAACAUUUGCUAAAAAAUAAAAAAAAAAUUGUAAUACAAAAACGUACGUUUUGAGUUGUUGUUAGUUUAGUUAACCAAAACGCAAUAAUAAAUUGUGAAAUUCAAA